UCGUACUAAUUAGAGUUGGACAUCUCUUUAUAUAUUAUACACUUCUUGUCUAAUUCUCCAAUGUGGGACUUAGUUUGAUAUCUUAUAUUCUCCCCCUCAAACUAAGGACCAUAUUCAUCUUGUGUCCCACAACUGACUUUCAGGAUCUUUUGACUUGAUCUCUGCCAUAUACCUCCCAUUCCUAACUCGAUGGGUCUUUUGCAGAUUUCUCGUCAACCUGGCUCUGAUACCAUGACAAACUUUGAAUCUCAAAGUAUUCUUCUGUCUUAUUCAUUGACGGCCAAAGGCCUUAUGUAUAUGUGUUACACGAUGUCUACCUAAUGGAAAAAGAAACAAUACAAGUUGCCAUAAAGUAUUUACUCAAAUAUACAUAUACGAUCUUCCAUAUUGUAAUACCCCCUCU
rnacentral:lncRNA from 1 species